rnacentral:rRNA from 1 species
GAUGAACGCUGGCGGCGUGCCUAAUACAUGCAAGUCGAGCGAACAGACGAGGAGCUUGCUUCUCUGACGUUAGAGGCGGACGGGUGAGUAACACGUGGAUAACCUACCUAUAAGAAUGGGAUAACUUAGGGAAACCGGAGCUAAUACCGGAUAAUAUAUUGAACAGCAUGGUUCAAUAGUGACAGACGGCUUUGCUGUCGCUGAUAGCUGGAUCCGCGCCGCAUUAGCUAGUUGGUAAGGUAACGGCUUACCAAGGCGACGAUGCGUAGCCGACCUGAGAGGGUGAUCGGCCACACUGGAACUGAGACACGGUCCAGACUCCUACGGGAGGCAGCAGUAGGGAAUCUUCCGCAAUGGGCGAAAGCCUGACGGAGCAACGCCGCGUGAAUGAUGAAGGUCUUCGGAUCGUAAAACUCUGUUAGUAGGGAAGAACAAAUUUGUAAGUAACUAUGCACGUCUUGACGGUACCUAAUCAGAAAGCCACGGCUAACUACGUG